UAGAAAAUAGCUUAACUAAAAGCGAUUUAUUUACAUUAAAAUGAUACUAUAAUAGUUUUUCUAA
rnacentral:tRNA from 1 species